AGCACCAGACGUCAUUAAGACGUUGUUUUUUGGGCUAAAUCAAGUCGGCCCGUCAUAGCCUUCAUUUAGCCCAAAAAUAGACGUUGAAAAUUGGGCUUUGUUUGGUCCGUCCGAUUUGGUCCAAAUUUAGCCCAAACAUAGACGUUGAAAAUUGGUCUUUGUUUGGUCCGUCUGAUUUGGUCAAAAUUUAGCCCGAAAAUAGACGUUGAAAACUGGUCUCUAUUUGGUCCGUUUGGUUUGGUCCAAAUUUAGCCCAAAAGACUUUGAAAAAUGUCGCCUCCUUUGUUUGGUCCGUCUGAGGGCAGCGCCAGAUCAUUUUUAACAGGUGCUGAAGGGGUGCUAUCAUUGACAGGGGAGCUUCACAAUUAUAUAAAAAGGCUACUUUUAAUAAAUGAGCAAAACUUAGCCACUCAAUAUAUCAUAUUCAAUUAUUGUAAUUAUCACAAUUCAGGUUUUAAUUUAAAUUAAAAUAAGCACAACAUUCAACAUUCAAUCAAAUAUUCUUAUGUAGCCUAUUAAUAAUAAUGUAAUUUCCACACAAUAUCUUGUUAUUUCGACAUAAUAUGUGUGCGUGCAACAAGCAAGAUGUGCAUUUGUAAAUCCGGUGACACGCGUGCAUUGAUUUUUAUUGCAUUUUAUUUUUAUUAAUAAACUGUUUUCUGUGUCCGCUGCAAAAGAUGAAGUUGAAGAUCUCCAUCUCCGCAGCGAACGCGCCUUGAGAGAGAAAUGCACAAAAUGAUUACAUAAUCAGAGAGUACCUAUUUCUUUUCGUUUUGAAUUGUUUUGUUUAAAGAUAUUUCCAGCUCUCUAUAGAUAUGUCUCAUGUCUUUGAGACAUGCUGAGUUGUGGUAAGUUGAAAGGUAUUUUUUGUGCAUAGUAAAACAUAUCUGCAACAUUUAUCAAGUUCACGGAUAAUUGUGCGUGCAUUUAUUAAUCGUUAUGAUAGGCCUAAAAUCAUAAUAAAGGCUGUGUACAAAAAAUCAGAUGAGCCCAGAAUAUGAAUGCAACGCGUUUAAUUAGCCUACACAUUAAGCAUUUUCCUCCAAACCAGAACGCUUGGCCUGCGGACUUGAAUGUAUUUAAAAAAUACAUAGAAUAGUUUAUAAUUGUUCCUCAUGUUUCAUCUGUAAUCUGUGUAGGCUAUAUGAGGAAAUAUGUGCAUGCCUUAUGUAGGUUUUAAUCAAUGUUUUUGCAAAAAAAAAAAAAAAAAAAAAAAACAAUCUACAGCACGUUUACCAUUUUUUAAAGCUAUAUUAUAUUAUUAGACUAUUAGCCUACAUGACUUAAAACAUUGUUUUAUAGUUUGACGAUGGCCACAGGCCUACUAUCCACUUAAUAAUGCAUCAAGUUUCAGCUGAUUGUCAAAUAAUUCACUCCAUCUCAAUGCUGCGUAACUCUGCGUGUUUUAAUCAAUGGGCGCACGCGCUGAACAUUCGAGCCGCAUUUGAACUGGAGCAGACAACGUUACCAUGGAAACCGGGCGGUAGCUCAACUGACAACGAUCAGCACAGCUCCACCUCUCGCUGUUGUUUUCACUACUUUCAGGUAAGUUUAGUCCCUAAAAUUACACAAAUAGUACAUAAAAAUGUUUCCGACAAUUUCUUUUAUGUAAAAGACUCACUUCCGUUGAAUAUUUGCUUGGUUAGUGUCUUAGAAAAAGUCCGUUAGCAUCUCAACUGUUAGGCUAACUAUAGGUAAGUUAGGUUAACUAUAACGUUAGACUUGAGCAGUAAGUUUGGGCUUUUAAUCGUAUCUUACUGUAUGUGUAGAUUAGAUAUUUAUUUUGAUAGUUUUGUAAAGGUUUUGUUGGCAAUUGGUCAAUGGAUGAAUGGAAUUAAGCUAGCUAAUCGUCAAAACAGUGUUAUUAAUACAGUUUAUUGAUGACGUAUUCUUUGUACAGGUAAUGAACACACAGAACAAAUUAUUUAUAACGUAAUAAUAUUGGUGUCUUUCUCUUUUCAGUAUUGUUAGCUCCAACCCCAAUUAUUUAUAAUGUAACUUAAUAAUAUCAGUUGUCUUCUUUCUCUUUUCAGUAUUGUUAGCUCCAACCCCAAUUAAUCAGACCUGAGCAGCUGACUAAACAUCACCAGAAACUCUGCAGAACACUGGCCCUGGUCUGGUCUGGAUGCCACUGUUGCUAAAGCAUUUCAAGUAAAAACUUAAGUCGUGGCUUAAUAAUCCGGGGUUGGGAUGGUGGAAGGAGCAGAAGAACCAGAAGAUCGGAGAUCAGGAAGAUAUCUGUUGGUGCCUCUGAGGGAACUGAUUUAAUGUGUAGAAUUUAACCAAAAAUGUUCGUCACUCACCUUCAUGUCGUUGCAAACCUGUAAGACUUUCGUUCAUCUUUGAAAGAUAUUUUUAAUGAAAUCUGAGAGGUUUCUGUCCCUCAAUUUCACAGUUUAUGCAACUACCACUUUCAAGCUUCAGAAACGUAAGACAUUAUAAAAAUAAUCAAUAGAGGGUUUGCACCCACGUCACGAUUUGGCCAGUUACCCGGAUGCGCGGCUAUAUUCGAGAUACUCGGAUGUAAACAACAGCAUUGAUUGCACUGUUUAUGUACUACUGAACACAUUGUUACACUAAUUUAUGAUGU